rnacentral:lncRNA from 1 species
AAGGGCUGCGGGUGCAGCAUAUGGAAGUUCCCAGGCUAGAGGUCAAACCGGAGAUGCAGCUGCUGGCCUAUGCCCUGUGUCACAGCCAUGCCAGAUCCAAGAUGUGUCUGUGAUCUACACCACAGCUCGUGAGAAUGCUGGAUCCUUAACCCACUGAACAAGGCCAAGGAUUGAAUCUGCAUCCUCAUAAAUACUAGUCAGGUUCGUUUCCACUGAGCCACAAGAGGAACUCGCAUGGUGGUCUUAUUGAUCAAACUAUGAAGUAAAGUUUGCUGAUGACUCUUCAACAUCUUUCAAUUACUUCUACCUCUUUGCUGUCGCCUGUUCUGUAUCUUCUACCCAUGACGAGUUUAAUGAUUCUAUCAUUUCUCAUAUUUGAGUACUGCCUCUAGGAAUAGACUACUUUGGGUUUGAAUCCAGCUCCUACUACAUAACAGUUGUGGGACAUUGGCAAGUAACUUCUUCACAUUUUUCUCAUUUAAAAAUUAUAAAUUAGUACCAAUCUCAUAAUAUUCUUGGGAGUAUUAAAGGGAAUGAAGCAUGGAAAGUACAUUAAAAAAGUGCCUGACAUAGUAAUUCAUAAGAUUAUGAUUAACCUGUGUUUGUCCCCAAAUCCCAUAAAUACCUAUCUUAUGUUCCAAUUAAUCUUGCAUUCUUUCUAUAAGCCUUUCCCACCUGAAACUUCUGUUUCCCUAAAUCAGAUCAGUUAGGAAGUCAAUUAUGAUAAUCUACACUGCAAUGAGUAUGGCUAUUGGCAAUCAUUCCCAAACGUGUUUGAUUCCUAACAUAAAGAACUACUCACUGAGGAACUCCACAUUAGGGCUGUAUCAUAAUCAGGGCUUGAUAUGCUCCCUGCUUAGCCCUUUCUACCUUGAAAUAUCAGAGAAAAAGCAUCAGAGAUCCAGCAGCUUCCAUCACUGCUGGGUUCAGGAAACAGUGAGAAGCUGUGUGUGUUAAAGCACCAAUGAGAAAAAUAAUGAGACACGAGACUGGGAAGCUUUCACUAAAGCUGCAGCACUCAUCCUCCGACUCCUUUGUUUAUGCUAGGAGGUAGCUUAUGAUUAUAUAGUUUACAAAUAAAGAAACAAAUGAAAAUAUCUAACAGCACCGUGAUAUAGUAAUGACUGAUGGCCAAGUAAGCCUAGUGACUCAAGCUAGGUGACUUCUCUUAUAGAGAGAUGUUCCUUGAAUCAUUUCAAAAUACAAGUACGAUUCAUUCCAAAGUUAGAGUCACAAAAUUAAAGGCAGCAUAUUAAAUUUUCCAUCUCUUUUCGAUGUGAAGAAAAAGACUAUCUCCAAUAUUCAGUGAGAUGUUAGACUUUUGUUUUUAUUUUUGGUAAGAAAGAGCAAACUAGCUCUUACAUAGUGAGGGAAUAAAAACAUACUCAUUGUUUUCUUUAUUAAGUGCUAAGGCAGUAUGACUCAGGAGGUGAAAAUUAUAAAAGACUUCUUAAGUGUGUUGUUGCAGGCAGGAAACUUAACUUCUGAGUCUCCUGUAUUGUAUCUGUGAAGUGCAGACUCUUUUCAUUAUCAAAAAUAAGGCGAUACAAUUGUUUAAAAUAUAGUGAGACACAACUGUCAGGAAACCAAUGGCAUAAAUAUUAUCACUAGAAGAGCAAAAGAGAAAAAAAAAUAGUGCCUAAAGUACAUGCCAUUUGUUUGGGCUUUUAAGCAUCAUUGUUCUCUCUCUCUCCCUCUCUUCAGUUACUUUUAUUUUAAAAAUUACCAGCAGGCUAGUCUUUACAUGUAAGGUCUUAGAAACAUUCAAAUCAUGGCACACUCCAUUUAAGUGUGCCAAUUAUCUAAGUAAAUUAAGAGGCUGCUCCCUUAUAUAUCUGUACAUGUUUUAUAAAAUUCACCUAAAAUGUAUACAAAUUAAGUAUGAACUUUCUUGAUUGCUGACAAACAGUAAAUUUAGCAGGGAGAGAUCGGUGUGGCGUCUAGCACACCAAGCUCCCAGGGAUUCUACAGGAACAUAAUUCAUGAGGACAGGCUAGCAUACGAAGACGAAGAAGAAAAGAAGAGGGAAGGCAGGAAGAAAAGAGAUGAGAAAGGAAGAAAAUGUCAGGGAAAAAGCGAAUGCAGGAGAAUUACUAUAUGAUGCACUUAGCUGGAGAGCUGAACAAAUCUCUUCCACUCUGGCUGUGAGCAGUAACACGCUUCGAAGCAUAUGGGUCUUAAAGUCCAGAAGUCAAAGAAAUCAAACUGUUUCUAUGUGUUCAAUAUAUAAACAGUCAAACAGAUUCCCAAAGGCGUAACAGAACUUGUCUCUUCUGCUUUGUCGUGAAGGAGUCAGCUCUGUCCUAUUAUUAAUAUUCAUUUUGUGCUAUCUAAGGAUGGUUUGGAAAGUACCUAUGAGUCCCGGGGGGGGUGGUGGUGGGGACCCGGAAACUUGUCUGUUAAUUUUGGGUGGGGGAAAAACUGUAAUUGUAAUGUAUACAUGUAAGGAUAACCUGACCCCCUUGCUGUACAGUGGGAAAAUAAAAAAAAUAAAAUAGAAUAAAAUAAAACUCAACUAUCAAGGUAAUUGUUUGGCAUUUUAAAUUUAAUACUAUAAUUUAAAAAAAAACACUAAACGUAGGUAUCUUACCUGUAAUGUCACAUUGUUAACUAAAAGUUUCAGCGUAAGAAUUUCUUGUACAUAGGCAGAUAAAACUCACACAUGUAAUGGUCUAGUUUAGGUAUGUCUAAGUAUAAAACUUGUGGCCUUGGAUACUGGACAUUGGUUAAAGUAGGAUAGUGAUGUUUUCCUAUUUAUAGAAGAGAUUCUGGGGCUCUAGAAAUAUGGUCUAAUGCCCAAUGGUUCACUUUAUUCAC